UUGCCACUAAGGAGAAUGGCCUGGCCAGUAAAGUAUAGGUAAAAAUAGAUGGAGGCAAACCACUAGAGACUCCUAACUCUGGGAAACAAACACAGGGUUGCGGAAGGGGAGGUGGGUAGGGGGGGUUGGGGUUGGGGUAAUAAGUGAUGGGCACUUGAUGGGAUGAGAACCGGGUGUUAUACUACAUGUUGACCAAUUGAAUUUAAGUAAAAAAAUAAAAAUAAAAAUACAUAAAUUUUUAUUUUUAUUUUUUAUUUAUACUGGUUGGGGGGGAGCAGUUUUAGGUUCACAGCAAAAUUAAGGGAAAGGUAGAUCAAUUUCUCAUAGAUGCUUACCCCCAUACACGCACAGCCUCCCCAAUUGUCCACAUCCCCCGCAUCCCCAAUUGUCCGCAACUUUUUUUUUUAAAAAACAAUUGAUGAAAUCAUACUGUCACAUCGCAAUCAGCCAAAGGCCGCAGUUUACAUUAUGGUUGACCCUUGCCGUUGCACGUUCUAGGAGUUUGGAUAAAUGUGCACUGACACGCACCCAUCACCACGGUAUAAUACACUGCCCUAAAAAACCCUCUGCCUGUCAGCCCUCACUCCUUACCACCCACAACUGACCACCACCGAUCUUUACAUUAUCUCCACAGUUCGGCCCAUCUAGCUGGAGUCAUACAGUACACACAUCACCCUUCCAGAUUGGCUUAUUUCACUUAACAGUGUGCAUUAGGGGUUCCUCCAUAGCUUUUUAGGAGUUGCUCAUUUCUUCUCAUCACUGAAUAAAGAUUCUGUUGUCUGAGGGGCACCUGGGUGGCUCAGUUGGUUAGGCGUCUGCCUUUGACUCAGGGUCCUGGGACAAGCCUUGCUUCGGGCUCUCUGCUCAGCAAAGAGCCUCUCCCUCUGCUGCUCCCCCUGCCUGUGCUUUCUCUCUCUCUUUCUGUCAAAUAAGUAAAUAAAAUCUUAAAAAAAAAAAAAAUUAUGUUGCCUGAAGGCACCUUGGUUGCUUCCCAGUUUUAGCAAUUAUGAAUAAUGCUGCUAUAAACAGCCUUGUGUAAGCUUUUAUGUGGACAUAAGUUUCAACUACUUUGGGUAAAUAUUAAAGACACCAAACGCCACCAAACCGUCAUCCAAAGUGGUUAUGCCAUUUUGCAUUCUCAUUAGCAAGGAAUGAGAGUUCUCAUUGCACCACAUCCUUCCCAGUAUUGGGUGUGGCCCCUCAAACACCGUUCAAACAGGUGUGUAGUGGGAUCUCACUGUUAUUUUAAUUUGCAUUCCCCUAAUGAUAUAUGACAUAGAACAUCUUUUCAAAUACUUAUUUGCCAUCUGUAUGUCUUCUUUGGUGAGGUGUCUAAGAUUUCUGCCCCCCAUCCUUUCUUUGACAUUUGGCAAUUUAAAGAAUGAGGUACUGAAGAUCACCACCUCGGCCGAAAAUGAGUUGGACGCUGACCCUACUGAGCCAACCAGGUGUUCCCUGGCCCAUUUUUUAUCCUGAAUGUUUUCUUUCACUUAUAUUGAUAUUAAAUUGAUAUAUUUCACAUACCAUAAUGUUCAUCAUUUUAAAGUAUACAAUUCAGUGUUUUUAUUAAAUUUUUUAUAAACAGAAUUGUGCAAACAUUACCACAAUUUAAAUAUAGAACCUGUCAACACUUGAAAAGGAACACCAAAGCCAUUAGAAGGUUUCUCCUCAUUUGUUCCCUAGGAACAAGUAAUCUGAUUUAUAUUUUAUAGACUUGGUUAUUCUAGACAUUUUCAUAAACGGAAUGAUGCAGUAUGUGAUCUUGUAUGACUGGCUUUUUUACUUGGCACAAUGUUUUCAAGGUUAAUCCAUAAAGCAAGUAUCAGUACCUCAUCUUUUAAAUUGCCAAAUAAUAUCCCCUGGUGUAGAUAUACCUUAUUUUGUUACUGAGCUUUCAAAUUUCAUGUGUUUGUGAUUUACCAAAGGAUUUAACAUUAUAUUUCUAGUAUCCAAAUAUGUGAUUGAAAAAAACAAUCUUCUUGUCAAAACUUUAAUUAUACUCUUUCACAAUAUGAGUACUAUGAAUGGGAUAUUCUCCUAAAUUAAGAAAAUUAGGAUUCUAUGGGAACUUUCUUCUUAUCCUAAGUAAAAACAAAGCUGAUUUUGAAAUCUUGAGUCUCAUGAAAGAUUGCAGUCAAAAUCUCAAAUAAAAAUGAUAACCAUCUUCAAUUGAUUGUUACACUUAAAUUCACAUAAAAACAACUUCUAUUUAGUUUUAAAGUAUUGAAAAACUCAUGAUAUAAAAAAAAUGAUAAAAAAAUAAAGAUGCUAUUUCUUUUGUGCCUCAAAAUAGAAGUAGACCAAGUUAGAAAAGACAUCUGUAGGAGGAAACUGAAGUCCAUUAAAAAGACUUAAUUUGCUAAUAUUUAGACAUUUUCAAUAAUGAAAUGUAUUCUUUGUCUCUAGAAGUGGUCAGGCUGUGUUGGUAUCCAAUACACAUGGAGAUACUUCAAGUGUGGUGACAAUAUAUCCAAAUACUCUUUCAACUCUAGAAUGCAAUACUCUAUGUUGAGCAGUUCUAACCAUCCAGCUAAUAAAAUCAAUCUAAGUGCGUUAGUCAAAUUUAAAAUAAUGCAAACAUUGAUUUCGUACAUAAACCAGGGGACAGUUUUAAAAAUAAGACAAAAUGAAAUUUCAAAAUUAUUCUUCAAAUAUGCCUUAGAUUUAUUUUUUAAAUACAUAAACAUAGGCAAGUUCUAUUUUAAACUAUUUCUAGCACACUGUCAUCUCUAGUAAUUAUCAGAAGAGCCAGCACAUCUAUCUCAUUGUAAUGAGACUGACAUAUUACUCUAUACAACGACAUAGAUUCAUAAGUGUUCUCAAAUCCCCAGCCAUUUAAGACUUUUAAAGAGUAUGAAGAUUUUUUUUUAAUUUAUCACAUAGAACACACUUUUAGAAGUCAGACAUUUCAAUGAAAGGGUGGGUUUUCUCCUUUCUAUAUUCACUCAUAGCAUUUUUGUAGCCUACAACAUGGUGAUCUCUUCUUAUUCCUCUGUUCUAAACAGCUGUUUGAUUCUUUAUAUUUUUACUGGAUCUUUGGGCUGAUUUACCAAAACUACCAUAAAAAGCAACACGAACAUUUAAAUGCCUUUCACUAAAAUUGUGAGCAUUUAGUCAUAUAAUUUGUCUCAUUCAAAAUUAUCUACUUCAACAUUAUCUGAAUUUGGCUUUUCAGAAAUACUGUAGUUUACAUGGGGGAUAUCUGUGUCCAUAGCCAUUACUUAAAUGCAAUGUUAAGCCCUCCAUUUUUGUUUUUGUUUUUUUGUUUUUGUUUUUGUUUUUGUAGCCUCCAAACAGCUCUGGAAUGAUGCAGCACCAUCUUUUACCAAAAACAUGGCCAUAUAAACACAGUUAUGCCAAUUUAGGAAUAAAACAAGAGUGCAUUAGGUUUUCAGAAAUGGCACAGUAGUUUUGCAAGUGAUCUAUGAUCAGCAAGUGGUUCUUCCAAACCAGUGAGCCUGUUAAGGUAGCUAGAGUAAGUC
rnacentral:lncRNA from 1 species